rnacentral:misc_RNA from 1 species
GAUGAAGAACGUAGCGAAAUGCGAUAAGUAAUGUGAAUUGCAGAAUUCAGUGAAUCAUCGAAUCUUUGAACGCACAUUGCGCCCGCUAGUAUUCUGGCGGGCAUGCCUGUCCGAGCGUCAUUUCAACCCUCAAGCCCCCGGGCUUGGUGUUGGGGAUCGGCGAGCCUCCGCGCCCGCCGUCCCCUAAAUCUAGUGGCGGUCUCGCUGUAGCUUCCUCUGCGUAGUAGCACACCUCGCACUGGGAAACAGCGCCGCCACGCCGUUAAACCCCCAACUUCUGAACGUUUGACCUCGGAUCAGGUAGGAAUACCCGCUGAACUUAAGCAUAUCAAUAAGCGGAGGA